rnacentral:lncRNA from 1 species
UUUUUAUGAAAUAUCACAUUAUUUGAACCUUUAAAGCUUCCACCUUUCAAGUGAUGUCUCUCCUUUUUACACGCGUACUUCAGAGAUAAGGCGAUGUUUUCCUUGGGGAUUGUACUGAUCGUGACGUUUCAUAAUUGAGUUACAAUUCGUCUCUCUUUAUGGUGCCUGCACAUAUCAAAUGUAUUUAUCAAAAACUUCCUACUUACCUUUUUUUCCUUCUAUCAGACCUUCUCUCAAAAAAGAAAAAUUCUCCAGGACGCUCCUAACUAUAAUUUACCCCCCUCACAUAUUGCUGUCAUGUCUCACUCUUUAAGUUCUCAUCUUCUUCCUUCAACUUCAAAUAGUUUGUCUAGUGUCCAAAAAGAUGGCGGGUUCCCUUUUGACUCCACUAUGGAGAAAAUACCACUAAUGAUUUUGAGGCUCCUUUAAGAAAGAAAAGGAUACCAGGACCGUUGAGGGGAUUUCUUUUGUGGUUUAUUUGUCAUAUAUCUACUCUGUUCGUUCGACGUACUGAUGGUCCCCUAAUUUCAAUACUAAAGUUCCUUAUAUCAUGGAGAGGGUCGCUACCCAUAGACCUGACUUUAUUUUCAUGUACACGUUGUCGUUUUUCUUGGGAUUGGGUGAUCCCAUAGAUGACGGUUUCAUUUCAUUUGGCCCCACUUUCCAGCUAAGCUUGGGGCAACUUAGUUCUUGCCUAUAGAAAUUUGUUGCCUGCCUCAUGAUCCUGGCUAACUUAUCUGGCGCGUAGUUCACAUUCGCGAACCUCAUCUUGCUUUUUCUUCGAGGUUAACUCGAGAGGGUUUAGUAGAACCAGAGCCCACAACCCAUGUCCAUUCUAGGCUACUUGAGCGACUCCCCAGAAGUUUUGUGGUCGUUUCUACUGAGGAGUUGCCUGGAGUGACAAUCACUUUUACUUGGAAUGUGGCCUUUAAGUUCGUCACCUCACAUUUCUUCAAUUAUUAUUCAUUAAUGUUCGCUUCACUCACCUAGCCUUAUAUCUUUCUAGUGGCGUCCACCAACGAAUGUAAUCCUUACUCUAACUGGGACUUUCAGAGAACGGGUCUCGAGGAUCUUAUCGUUGGGAAGAACGUGAAAUUGGUCCACCUUAUUCCUCUUUUCAUAACUUGGCUUGCUUUCUCGAUAUUCUCAAUCAUAGUUAGGGAUUUUUCCUCCUUUUAUCUUCUUUUAUUUUUAUUUAACUCGUUCUUAUCUUUCAUUUCUUUCGCAAGUCCUAUAUUAAAAGAGGAUCUGAUUGUGUUCUCGUCAAUCAUUUAAAUUCUCCCGUACUUGAGAGACCCCAUGCCCUACCCACGCCUUAGCUUUCGGAGGUGAUCCUGAUCACCCGAGCGACUACUAGUAUAGUAAAAUGCUUCCGAGGUCCAAUCAGAGUUCUUACCCUUUGAUAGGGAAAUGAUCAGCCACAGAGUGGUGAUGAUAUAUGACUCAGAUGAGGUACAUUCUGAGCCUCCCAAGAUUCAAAUGGACGAUCCGUGCUAGGGGAACUUUAAUUCAUCCUAAGGAUGCAUCCGUUAUUGGUCCAAAGACUAUUUAGGGUCUUCCCCCAUUCUCUUGCAUCGUUCGCCCAGUGGGAGCCUCACUUCAGAAACCGUUCUAGCCUAGGACCCCAUACUUUCGUGAAUGACCCAGACAUGUUUACCGGUUAUUUUUUAGAUCCAAUGGGUGAGCCAUUAAUAUCUUAGAAAGUUUGUCUGUCCAUUCCCUCAGAUGUAAAUUUCUUGUCUAGGCCGGCCCGAGUACCCAAUCAUUGGUCUCUCCUGGUGAUAAAAGAAGUUAGAUGUUGUUCCAGUUGAAUGCCUAGCAAUCGAGAGUGUCCAUGCCUCAGCGCAGGUAAACAAACUUUUCUUCUUCAAUUUUAUGUAACAAUUGCCCCUUCUUAUAUUGUUCCACAUUUUCCCACAUUCUAGGACAACUUCUUGGCUGUGGAUAACCUGCAAUUGCAGCAAAAAGAAUGGAGUACAAUGGAGACGUGUUGUACUAUGCUAUAGAUUUGAGGCCUACUAAGUGACCAACCCUAGUUGGUUGAGUCCCUUUUACACACUAAUUCUGAGGUUGAUGCCCUCAAGCUAUAGAUUGAAGAUGUUAAACAAGAGAGGGAGACCUUUCAGAAGAUGGCCCAGUAAAGGCGUGUCGACAUUGAGAGAUUGGAUCAGGAGCGUACAGUGCAUUUUGGAUGAUUGGGGGCUACUUUAUUGAUAGGGCGAGUUACAAGUAGAGCUUCAUAGGGAACUCUAAGGAUCCUCCCCCAAUCCUUCGAACGAGGUUGGUCUGUUACAUCCUAUCGAGGUGCUGGAUUAUUUUGAGCUUCAUCGGCUUUGGAAGAAGAUUUGCUUGCACAUGACCGCAACUCAAAUGGCAGGAUCUUUCCAUUAAUGGGCUUCUCGUAUACUCCUCGCAUGAUAGUACUCAUUUCAAAACUACCCUUUCUGGAGUCAUGGCCUACUUCCCUGCAAAGUAAAACACAAAAGAAAACUGGAAAGAAAGAAAAAGCUAAAAAUCCACACAGUUGCUUUGGCCCCAUUGUGGGCGCCAAACUAUUUACCAUUUUUUUUGUACAAUUGAAAUUGUUCAUGAGUCAAGAGCACGUGUGUAAGACCCUGCAAAGUUUCCUCGUAGUCUAAGCCUUUAGAGCACCUUAUUUCACCUUUAAAAGAUUAAGAAAUGACUUCCAAAGUGAUUAGUGUUUAAACCAUAUUGAAUUUUCCUAAUUUUGACUUUAUAUCACAUGGGAAAUUGAAUUAUCUUUUCAACGAUACCCAUUUCAUCAAAAUUCGAUGUUGGGGUAGAAAGUUAU